GAGGAUUCGUCCAACGGAUUGAGUUACCUAGUGGCGGACGGGUGAGUAACGCGUGAGGAACCUGCCUUGGAGAGGGGAAUAACACUCCGAAAGGAGUGCUAAUACCGCAUGAUGCAGUUGGGUCGCAUGGCUCUGACUGCCAAAGAUUUAUCGCUCUGAGAUGGCCUCGCGUCUGAUUAGCUAGUAGGCGGGGUAACGGCCCACCUAGGCGACGAUCAGUAGCCGGACUGAGAGGUUGACCGGCCACAUUGGGACUGAGACACGGCCCAGACUCCUACGGGAGGCAGCAGUGGGGAAUAUUGGGCAAUGGGCGCAAGCCUGACCCAGCAACGCCGCGUGAAGGAAGAAGGCUUUCGGGUUGUAAACUUCUUUUGUCGGGGACGAAACAAAUGACGGUACCCGACGAAUAAGCCACGGCUAACUACGUGCC
rnacentral:rRNA from 1 species